UUGUGCUACUAUUGUGCUUCUGUAAGCAGCUCUGGAGUAUAAAGACACCCACUCUUCUGUGACUUCACAACUGAGGAAAAUGUAUUGUCUAAUUGCAGUGGAUACAACUAAAGAAGUGAUAUUUCACAUUAAUUCCACUGGAUGGCACUGAAGGAGACAAGAUUGCAUGGAAGUAUCUCCAGAAGUUCAGUAUAACUCCAAAAAGUGCCAUGCUGGAAAUGUGGCACAUCUCCUCACUAUAAAGGCAACCUUAGGGUGGUACCAUUUCUUCCCAGGCUGGAUACAGAUUGUCCUCAAACUACCAGGCUGCACAAACACACAGGAAGCACUGAUGAUACCAGGGCAACUUUUUCUGAGGUUAUGGGUGAUGGGCCAUGUCUUAGAGACAUAUAACUCAAACUGCAUUUAUUUUAAUAAGUAGAAAACUGAUUAACUACUUUUUUAAAGCAGCAAAAAAUAUUUCAAGACUGUAUAAAAGCCUUCAAAAUUGAAAUUUCUUUCAGAUUUCCCCCCCAAAACAUCCAUCUAAGAAGGCAG
rnacentral:lncRNA from 1 species